rnacentral:rRNA from 1 species
UACAGAGGGGGCAAGCGUUAUUCGGAAUUAUUGGGCGUAAAGGGCGCGUAGGCGGCUUUGCAAGUGACGGGUGAAAGCCCUCGGCUUAACCGAGGAACUGCCUGUCAGACUGUAAGGCUUGAGACCGGGAGAGGUGAGUGGAAUUCCCAGUGUAGCGGUGAAAUUCGUAGAUAUUAGGAAGAACACCAGUGGCGAAGGCGGCUCACUGGCCCGGUACUGACGCUGAGGCGCGAAAGCGUGGGGAGCAAACAGG